CUUCACUUCCGGGAUUUUUCGCGGGCUUUUUUGUCUGCUGUCAAUCAAAGAGCCGAGACCGCUCGGUGACCCGACCCAGAGUCGACACCUUUGACAUGGAGGGGUUCCUUUCAACUGUGAAAUGUCUGACGGAGAGCCUGCUGAAAACACAGGCUUCCGAUUAUGAUGAGGUGAUAGAGAAGCUUUACUCUGAAGUCUUAUGCCUGGAGGAGUUCCCCAAAAUACCAGAUCCCCAGGGAGGGCUUGAGGAGUGUGCCAUCCAGCUGUGGAACUGGGCUGUUACCAAGAACGUGGGAACUGUUAUAAGCAAACAUCAGAAAGCUAAAGUGCGUCAUGUUGCAUGCAGCCUUCUGUGCUGCUGUGAGCCUGAGAAUCCAGCAGAGGGCGUCAUCCGCAAGCAGAUCCUUAUGGCCAGCAAAACAGGGAGAACCUGGCUAGACUGCAAAAAUCCCCAGAUGGCAGAUAACUUCUUAAGGCUUGCUGUCAAGGGUCUGGAAACCCUCUACGGCCAUCUAACUUCUAGGGGUGAUGGAAUAGCUGACAUUACUUCAUCAAAGGGGGAUGUAGAGAAGGAUCUGCUUCGAGUUCUCUCCUACCAGGCAGAAUCGGCCAUAAUUCAAGGGAACAACCAUGAAGCUGUGGGAUACAUGCAGCGCUGUAAAGACAUGCUGCUGCGGCUCCCUAAAGAUACUGCGUAUCUUUCCCUUAUGUGCUACAACUUCGGCAUUGACACUUACAAUCUGAGGAAGUUUGAGGACAGUGUAUUUUGGCUGAGCCAAAGCUAUGAUAUCGGGAAGAUGAAUGUGAAAUAUGCCCCUGGAUCUGAAGUCCAGGCAAAGGUUCUGAGGCUCUUAGCUACAGUUUAUUUUGAAUGGGACUGUCAGAGGUUUCAGGAGAAGGCUCUUAAUGCGGUCAGCCUAGCCAACAAGGAAUCUGUGAGUGCAUCUGGGCUGUACUUGAAAAUCAGAAUACUUCUGAGAUGUGGAGCCUUGGAUGAUGUUAUCAGAACAGGACUACAUGAGAUGCUGGAAUCCAUGGUUCCUCUUGACGCGUGUCUGAGCACAGUGAAACUUCUCAUGUUUGAAGACAGAGAAGUGCUGGCAUUUGAGUAUUUGAAACGUGUGUGUCAGCACUUUGAGUCGGCCCCUGACCUGGGAACAGCGCUUGUCUUACACAUUGAUCUACUGUUGCAGAAAGGAAAGGAGCUGUUAGCCAAACAGAAGAUAGAUGAUAUUAUCUGUGGCCAUUAUACAGGAAAACAGCUGACUCCACAUGCCCUCACAGGUCUUCAUGUACUACUGUGGGAUAAGGCAUCAAAACACUUUGAGGCUGGGAACUACUCCGAGGCUCUCCAAUGGUACAGCUACUCUCUGAGUUUCUUUAAAGGCGGUCAGUUGGAGCCCAACUCAGCAAAACUGCAGAGGAACAGAGCUUCCUGUUUCCUUCAGCUCAGGCAGCUGGAGAAGGCUAAAGAAGCAAUGAAAGAAGUGGAGAGAUGUGACCCAGACAACAUUUUCACUCACUUCUGUGUGUACAAGAUUGCAGUGCAAGAGAACAAUGUGGAGAAAGCUGCAGAGGCAGUGAAUGCAAUGGGACUUCUGACCAGGUGUCUCGUCUCCACGGAGGACAGACUGUUGGUAUCUGAGAAUGCUGCUCUCAGUCUCCUCAGUCUGGCUGCUCAGAUUGCUUUAGAGAAUGAUCAACAGGAAACUGCCAUGAAGGCGCUGGAGAGCUUGUGUGACAACUCCAAAGAUGAAGCUCAGGUUCUGAAUGCUCUCAGGUGUUUGGUUCGACUUGUGCUUUCAACAUUAGAGAGAUCAAGUGCUGACACCAGGUUUAUUAAUCUUGAUGUCCUGCUGCCUUAUUUAAAAAUGGCUUUGCAGAAAGUUUCAUGCCAGUCUUGCAUGACUGCUGAGCAACGUGCAGAGGAAGCUAACUGGUUCAGAAAGAUUGCUUGGAACUCAGCUCUGCAGUGUGAGAGCAGUCCUGACAAGAUGAGGGAUUUUUUUGUUCUCUCUUACCAGCUCUCCCAACUCUGCCCUCCUGAUCGUACACUGCUCAUGGGCCAGAAGACGUGCCUGCUAAUGGCUGCUGCUGCGUCUUUGGAACACUGCAGGAAGUCUCCUCACUCUGCCCAGACUGAAGAGCUCAUUCAGGCUCUGGAGCACAUUCAGAUCUGCUGGGAGAUCUGGAAAACUCUAAAAGCAUCAGGAAACAUCCCCAUGGAUCCAACAGACACACUGCUGCUGCUCUAUGAAUUUGAAGCCCGUGCUAAGCUGAAUGACCCCAAGGUGGAGACGGUUCUGGAGUCAGUCUUGGAGCUUGAAAAUAUUGAAAUUAAGACGUUAGAAACCAUUGCGGCUUUAGCCAUGGAGCCUCCAGCCCACUUCCCUCUGCUGUGUAAGAAGGCCUUGAGGGUUGCUCUCUCUCUGCACAAGAAACAACCACAGGCUGACCUGGCCCGCUGCAGGCAUACCCAUCACUACUCUGCAUGAAAACACCCAUGACAUUUCAUUACUGAUCCAUUCCCACAAAGUGCUCAUUAGGAUGAAAAGGCUUUCUGAGUGUGUCUCUUUCUGUGCCCCUGUCUUAGUAAGUGUGUUCACAGCCUGAUCAAGCUGUCCCUCCCAAGCGGUGUGUCAGAGGUAGAGGCCCAUGUGCUGGAGGAGGUGUGGGACUACUUUGAGGAGGCUCUGUCCAUCAUUGCAGCCGCAGUGAGUCAGCACCAAUCACAUGCUCCUCAUCCCUUGGCUCCCACCUCCUGUUCCCCUCCAUCAGAACUGCUCCCUGCCAUAUAAUUAACCCUUUCUUUACCACUCCAUGCCUGCCUGCUGUUCUGGAAGCCUCUUUUUAUCAAUGGGCUUUCAGCUGCACUUCAAUUAGCAGAUGCUUCCUACACCACCCCCUUCCUGCCAAUUUGGAUGUUAAUGUGCUGUACAAGUCAUCACACUGCCGCCCGACGACUUCCCAGAGAUGGAGACCCUGUGGUUGCUGACGAGGGCGUGGAACACAGGGAUACUGCUGUACAGCCUGGCUCAGUAUCCAGAGGCUGAGAAGUGGUGUGGCCUCGCCAUGAGCUUCGUCAGACACCUGGGAUCCCUGCAGGAGAGCUAUGAGAGACAGAUGUCAGGUCUCUACAGUGAAAUCCUGGACAGGUUAGACAGAGCUAAGAAGAACCAAAACAUGGAGGAAUAACCGAAGAGGCUGGUGUCAACCUGGGGUUAGUUUCCUGUUCUGAGGGUGGUCUUAAUUACACUCAGUUUCAUCAGUUUAAUGUCACAGGUAAAUGUUAUCAAUGUUGUGGUAAACCGUUCCAAUUUGAGACAUUGUUGCUAUUUUUGGGUAUCCUGAUUGACAAGUUGUCCUGUACCAAAAUUUGUUCUGUUUAAUGUCAGCUUGGGACCUCCUCUUUGUCCUAUAUUAAUAAAGCCAAUAUGUCACUUUCAAGCAGAAUGACAAGAACAUCAAAAUCA